rnacentral:rRNA from 1 species
GAUGAACGCUGGCGGCGUGCCUAAUACAUGCAAGUCGAGCGAACAGAUGAGGAGCUUGCUCCUCUGACGUUAGCGGCGGACGGGUGAGUAACACGUGGAUAACCUACCUAUAAGACUGGGAUAACUUCGGGAAACCGGAGCUAAUACCGGAUAAUAUAUUGAACCGCAUGGUUCAAUAGUGAAAGACGGUUUUGCUGUCUCUUAUAGAUGGAUCCGCGCCGCAUUAGCUAGUUGGUAAGGUAACGGCUUACCAAGGCGACGAUGCGUAGCCGACCUGAGAGGGUGAUCAGCCACACUGGAACUGAGACACGGUCCAGACUCCUACGGGAGGCAGCAGUAGGGAAUCUUCCACAAUGGGCGAAAGCCUGACGGAGCAACGCCGCGUGAGUGAUGAAGGUCUUCGGAUCGUAAAACUCUGUUAUUAGGGAAGAACAAAAGUGGAAGUAACUAUGCACGUCUUGACGGUACCUAAACAGAAAGCCACGGCUAACUACGUG